UCUCUCUCUCAUUCAAAGUAUGCUAAAAUGCCAUUAUCUGAGCCUGUGUUUAAGUGAUAAGAUAUUUAUAGUACAGCACAGUGUUUCAGUCAAAUCAUAGGCACUGAGAUGCUAAAGGACAUGAUAAAAAGAGUUCAGAUUUAAUGCAUUAAGAGGGCAAUUGGUAGUUAAAUGUUCAACUGCCCCCUGCAUGUAAGAAAUAAGAGAUUAUAAAAAUAAUGAAUAACAAUUUAGGAGCAAUUGUUGAUGAAACAUGAGGUCUUUAAAAUCAUAAUACAGACCCUGAGCUAUAGAUGUAAUAAUUUUGAAUAGUUAAACAGUUGUAUUGCUAUUUGUUCUAUGACCAGUAACUUAUCUGUCUUAUUUUUAGUCUCCACCAUCAUACAGGGCCUGAUGGCUGCAGCUACAGAAGCAACAGAAAAUUACAAUGAAUGGACGGGUGUGAAAAAUAAAUUGACUGAGUGAUCUCAGCAUGAUAGUUUGGAGGUAUCCAAUUGAUUUUAGGGAUUAAAUAUUAGUCUGAUUAACCCUUUUCCAAUGUUUUAACACUAGUAGGUGCUGUAAAUGGCUCUCAUUGUUCUUGAGUGCACCUUUCCUAAGCUGCAGGAAAUACUGGAUUCUGGAAGAAGACUGUCGAGGAUGUUGCAACGGGAAAGAGUGGUUACCAGUGUGCAUGAGAUGAUUUCUCAAUGACGGGUAAGAUCCUCUUCUGGCCAAUAGGGGACAACCUAAGGCAGGGGGUCACCGCCACUGGGCACCUGCCCUGAAGGGAGGUGUUUUAUGUGAGAUAGUAGUGGAGUUGAGCGGAUGCUUGAUAGGCCUAGAGCAUCAUUAAGAGGGGAACUGUAGGAAGUACAGCAAUCUGCCUCAAAAUGUGAGCUCCUCCAGACCUGAUCACCAGCAACCGCAUUCCUUGACUGAUUGUUGUGACAAGCGUCCACAACUUGAUGCAACUAUGCCAGGGGAUCACACCCUGAGGACAAGGAGCUUAUUUAUAAAGAGUUAAUGGCAAUGGGCUGUCAAGAACCAUCUGAGACCAUGUGAUGACAGUCAUUAUUUUGAGACAAAAUUUCUUAUGAGGCUAAAAUUAUAUUGAACUAAUAUGUCUAUAUCAUAGUCUUUACUCAUGCAGGUCAUUAGGCAUGGCAUAAGAUGAUUACAAGAUAUGGUGGUGGCUAAAAAUGAAGACUGCUUCUGCUUAAUCAAGAGAUGGUUUAGAUAACAAAGGUUUUUUAAACAGUUUAAACUGAGAUUUGAAAUAAAGAAACUUUGACAUUUUUAACCUAUUUGAAUGAUUUAGGGUUAUAUGUUGUAAUGAAUUUGAUAUUAUAGUCUAAGUUAAAGUUUGGCAAAAAUUGUCAAAAUAAAUAAAUAAAUAAAUAAUAUUUUGCACAGUAAGAGAGAGAGAGAGUGCUUGAGUGGAGGCAGGGAUGGUGCUCUUCUUCUCUUAUCGGCCUGCUAAGUCAGAGUAACCAAAAGAGAGCAAUGAUUUGAAGACCAAAACAACCAAGCUGAUUUUACUCUAAAUAAAAAUCAUUAAUGAACAGGCAAACUUUGAGAUUAGAUAAGAGACUAGGUACAAACUAGGUAAAAUGCACAGACAAUGUUUAAGUUUAAAUCCUUCUGAUUUAAUUCCAAAAGCAAACCUUAAAUAUGAGCUGUUAAAAUAUUAAUGUGUUAAGUAUGUGCAUGCACAAGGAUGGCUACUAUAAAUUUUUGGGGGACAAUUCUGUUCCUGUUUUGUUUCAAUUGAGUCACUAACCUCUGGAAUGAGUGUUUUAUCAUUACAGAUGUGUUGAGUGAAAUUACUUUACAGAAGUCGAUAAUUCUGAGUGAAACUAAUGAAAAGACAAUGCCGAACAUGGGACGAGCUUUAAGAGGAUUGGCUAUAACGCUGAUUUAAAUCACUCUCUGGAUUAAUAUGUUAAAGAGUGUUUAUAUGAUUGGAUUUGUGAAAUUUAAGUUUGCCGUCCAAAAUGGGUUUAAAAUCCAUGCCUAAAUUUAAAUGAGGGUCUAAAUUUUAACAAGUUAACACUUUGUUGUUUGAAUGGUGAAGGUAAAUAUUUUAGACUUGACGGCAGAAAAACAGUGACAGAUUGGCUACGUCACUAACCAAAUUAUCCAGAGAGCACCCUCACAUAAAGAAGCCUGGUGGGAAAACAAAGGAGUGAAUCCUGCUUGUGUAAUAUAGUGCAAAAGCUUUAUGUAGUGGUUUAUGUAGAACAGAGAUAAGUUGAACAACAACGUGUGGAUAGCCCCUUAAUGGAGCAAAUCCAUAACAAGAGGUUUGAAUUAAUUGAAAUAGCACAGCAAAAAAAAAAAUAAUAAUAAUAAAUUUUGUUUGAACAAAACAAUUGUAAUAGGCUCUAUGGAGCUGCUUAUGAACACCUGUCAGGGCUUUUUGAUAAUGUAUACUGUUUCAAUACAGAUUUACAGAAACUGAGGAUGUCUCUUUAAUAAAUAUUUGGGCGUUUAGAACUAAGUAAUAGUAUUGUUCAUUUAGUAAUAGUAUUGGGAAAUCUGUGUGCUCUUUUUCAGUUUAUAAUAAUUUUGAGUAAAUAAAUAUCACUGCCAAAUGACAAACAUGAACGAGGGUUUUAAAGACAUUGAUCACGUAGCUGAUGUGUAAGCAUUUCUAACUGACAAAACAGUGAGAACUAAAUUGACUUAAUACGAGGUAUUGAGGAUUUGCUUCUGAAUGUGUCAUUAAUAUAGUCUGAGUACAGUAAUAUGGUAUGAUAAUUGACAAGACUUACAUUUAAAAAAAAAAAAAAAGGGUAAUAAUAAGGCAAUGAGUAUGGUUAACAGUAAUGUCCUGGUAUAAAAUACAUGCAUGACAAUAAGUGGAUAGGUUAGUUGUAUUUUUGAAGUUAGACACUUCGAUACUUAAAAUGUAAUUUUGAUCAAAUGUUGUUAACAAUGACAAGUUUGGGUUAAUGGUUAAUGUAUGUUUAAACAGCAUGUGAACUAUGAUGACUGCAAAUGGAUUCGUGGUGAAAGUAAAACUUAAUAAAAGGGCUAUUAAGUAAUAAACUAGGAACUGCUCUAGGUUUUCGAGGAAAUAAUGAUUAUGAUUAUUUUUAUUUUUAUUUUUAAAGAUGGCUCAAUAUUGAUCUUACUUAUUUUUGGUUUGUUUAUUUUUGUGUUUUUAACUCCAAGUUUGGAAUGAAAGGGUAAAAUGGAUAAUCAAUCUCUAUAAUUGUACCAUUGAUGGGGGAAAUGAUAGAUUUUCAUAAAAUAAGGGUAUCUUUACUGGGAUUCAGGUUAUAAGAAAUGUCUAUAUUUGGUAUCUGUGAGGUGACUGAGGGUCUGACAUAUGUCAGGAAUGCAAUAACAGUGGUUAUUCAUUUAGCCCGGCUUCCAGAGAAUAAUAUAUAUACGUUUAUUGUAAUGAGUUUAUUUUACUAUAUGACCAAAUUAACUAAAAUUCAUCAUAGUUGUAUAAGACAUGUUAAAAGAAAACAAAUAAGACAAAUAUCCUUCUUAAGGGUUAAUUUUUUUUUUGAAUUGGUUAUAGUGUAUGCGUUUUUCUUUAAUGAUUUGUUAAAUCUGGUUAAUGAAUAUGCAAAUUUAGUCUUAAGGCUGUUGGAUAAAUGUUUGGUUUUAGAGGGUAAGUGUGAAGUAGCUGUAGUAGGAAGAGAGGUAUUUACAAAGAUAUGUUGAUGAAAGUGAGGACACUUUUCCAGGUAGGGGGACACACAGAAUGAUUCACUGGAAAAGACAUUAUGUGAAGAAAGACUAGUGCAAGUGCCGAUAUUGUGGGAUUAAGUAAGUAGAUUAAUGUAUAUGGGAAAUAAGAAUGUAUAUGGGAAGUAUUUUGUACAAAAUAAUGUGUUUAUUACUAGAAAUGUCAGCCAGUACCAGAGAUUUUAAGUAUGCACAUGUUUAAGUUGACCAACAGUCUGCAUUCUUAGCAUGCAUCACAACUACACCUGACCUCAUUUAUUAGACCAGAUGUGGGGUAUUAGACCCCACACUGAUCUAAAACGGGGGACUGAAGGAGUGGAUGCCGAGUUGCCAUAUCCUUCAUACCAGAGAUGGGACCAAGUCCCCAUGUCUGCUUCAUACUGAUAUUAUAUUAUAUUAUUACAUGAUUUCUUGUUUGACUAUUAAUCAAGUUAUAGCAAGAGUGAAAUGUGUAACCUUAUGUGUGCUGUAUUUCUUUUCCUCAAGAUUAAUGUCCACAUAUUAUGUGUGUGUAUCCAACCGUAAUGAUAAGACACUUGCCAGUGCUAGAAAGCCUUGAAUUUUAGAUAAGUUCUCUGUGUAUGUGUGUUAGUAUCUGUCUGUACAGGGAGAAGCUCAGACAGUCCCAGGACAAACAAUCAAUUGCCAGUGUCCAGCGUAUCAGAUCUACGUCUUUGGAGAGUUUUAUCUAGGUUUUGGAACCAAUCAGAAUUUUGUUGACUCAUGUAUUGACGCAAUUAGUAUCCUCUGUCAGGGUAUAACUGUGGUUGAUUUUGUAUUGUACUGGGGGCGGCCUGCGAACUCCUUCAAGAGUGUUGAAGCUGACUUCUGCUGAUGAAAUUGCAAACUAUUUUCUUCAAGUAAAAUUAUUAUUAUUAAUUGAACUCA